UACGUAGGGGGCUAGCGUUGUCCGGAAUCAUUGGGCGUAAAGCGCGUGUAGGCGGUCCGGUAAGUCCGCUGUGAAAGUCGGGGGCUCAACCUGGAGACGCCACCUGAUACUGCUGUGGCUGGAGUCCGGUAGGGGAGCGUGGAAUUCCUGGUGUAGCGGUGAAAUGCGCAGAUAUCAGGAGGAACACCAGCGGCGAAGGCGGCGCUCUGGGCCGGUACUGACGCUGAGGAGCGAAAGCGUGGGUAGCAAACAGG
rnacentral:rRNA from 1 species